CUCCGGUUUCCUCCCACAGUCCAAAGACAUGCUGGUUAGGUGGAUUGCCGAUUCUAAAUUGGCCCUAGUGUGUGUUUGUGUGUGUCCUGCGGUGGGUUGGCACCCUGCCCAGGAUUGGUUCCUGCCUUGUGCCCUGUGUUGGCUGG